ACUUGUCCCCAGCUGUCCCCAGUGUCACUUGGACCUGGUCAGUCCUGUCUGGUCAUCUCUUUUCUCCUCUCCAGGAGCUCGUGGGACCAUUGGACUGUGAGCACAUCCUGGGAGUAUGCCUGCCUCGCUCUAGAUAAAGCAGGGAGGAAUUCUGAUGUACCAUCUUUACCUUCUCCUUCCGUGCCCCACGGUGACCUGCUGCAGAAUCCCACCUGGAGGCUGGGCUGGGGCUUCUCUGCCUGCCCGGGAUGUGCCUCACCAUCGCGGGCCGGUGGAGACACCUGCUGGGGGCCAGCAGAAAUGGUUCAGAUGAGCGGGAACGUUUCCUCUUAGAGAACCAGGAGCUCACCUGAUGCUUAUAAAUCCCCUGGCUGCUGUGCAAAGUGUGAGGAAGGAGAAGAUUUAAUGGCUUCUGUCAUCUGUACAAUCAGUGCAAGUCAGAAUAACCACAAUAAAGUCAGUGGAGACUACUUCCA
rnacentral:lncRNA from 1 species